UUGAACUGCUUAGGUUUAAUGAAGGAUGCCAAACCUCGCAUGCGCACCCAGCAGUGAUAUGUGGACGAAAGAAGAAGAAGAAAUCGUUGCUGAAGUGUGUGCUGGGUCUCGAAGAUAUCCCCACGUUCGCGUUCUAUGUAAACACAUAACUCCUACACCACUUCUACAAAAUCUUUCGCUGAUGUUCUUCAAUGCUGCGUUACUGAAUAUCGCUGGGAGUUCCGGUGCAUUUUAGGUAUAUAUUGAUAGAAUUUCGCCUGUAGACGCCCGGAAGCAUUCGUGACAGGAGAAUAUCUUGGACAGCUGAGUAACACCAUACUGGAUCCAGCAAAUGCACGAAGGCACCCGAAAACACCAUCUGCCGCCCGCAAGACCCACAAGACAUGUGC